rnacentral:rRNA from 1 species
UAGAGGUCCGCCUGCCUGUGACUAUAUGUUUAACGGCCGCGGUAUUUUGACCGUGCGAAGGUAGCGCAAUCACUUGUCUUUUAAAUGGAGACCGGUAUGAAUGGCAUAACGAGGGCUUAGCUGUCUCCUUUUUCAGGUCGAUGAAGUUGAUUUCCCCGUGCAGAAGCGGGGAUGCGCACAUAAGACGAGAAGACCCUAUGGAGCUUUAGACACCAAGACGGAUUAUGUCAAUCGCCCCCAGACAAGGGAAUAAACAAGAUGACCUCCGUCCUAAUGUCUUUGGUUGGGGCGACCGCGGGGAAAUAAACAACCCCCAUGUGGAAUGGGACACCAGUCCUACAACUAAGAGCUCCCGCUCUAAGUACCAGAACUUCUGACCAAACAGAUCCGGCUAAGCCGAUCAACGGACCGAGUUACCCUAGGGAUAACAGCGCAAUCUCCUUUUAGAGCCCAUAUCGACAAGGAGGUUUACGACCUCGAUGUUGGAUCAGGACAUCCUAAUGGUGCAGCCGCUAUUAAGGGUUCGUUUGUUCAACGAUUAAAGUCCUACGUGAUCUG